CUCAAGAAACUCAAAGGAAUUGACGGGGCCGCACAAGCGGUGGAGUAUGUGGUUUAAUUCGAUGCAACGCGAAGAACCUUACCUGGUCUUGACAUCCCGGAGACCCUUAGGAAACUAGGGGGUGCUUCCAUCUGGAAGAAUCUGGAGACAGGUGCUGCAUGGCUGUCGUCAGCUCGUGUCGUGAGAUGUUGGGUUAAGUCCCGCAACGAGCGCAACCCUUGCCUUUAGUUGCCAGCAGUUCGGCUGGGCACUCUAAAGGGACUGCCGGUGUUAAACCGGAGGAAGGUGGGGAUGACGUCAAGUCCUCAUGGCCUUUAUGACCAGGGCUACACACGUACUACAAUGGCCGAUACAAAGGGCAGCGACACUGCGAGGUGAAGCCAAUCCCGUAAAAUCGGUCUCAGUCCGGAUUGGAGUCUGCAACUCGACUCCAUGAAGUUGGAAUCGCUAGUAAUCGUGGAUCAGCAUGCCACGGUGAAUACGUUCCCGGGCCUU
rnacentral:rRNA from 1 species